rnacentral:rRNA from 1 species
UACGGAGGGUGCAAGCGUUAUCCGGAUUCACUGGGUUUAAAGGGUGCGUAGGCGGGUAGGUAAGUCAGUGGUGAAAUCUCCGGGCUCAACUCGGAAACUGCCAUUGAUACUAUCUGUCUUGAAUACCGUGGAGGUGAGCGGAAUAUGUCAUGUAGCGGUGAAAUGCUUAGAUAUGACAUAGAACACCGAUUGCGAAGGCAGCUCACUACACGAAUAUUGACUCUGAGGCACGAAAGCGUGGGGAUCAAAC